rnacentral:rRNA from 1 species
AGCGAACGCUGGCGGCAGGCUUAACACAUGCAAGUCGAACGGGCAUCCCCGGCUGUUAGUGGCUGCUGGGUGAGCAAAACGUGGGAACGCACCCUUCGGUCCGGAACAACACUGGGAAAUAAGUGCUAAUACCGGAUACGACUUCCUGGGGAAAGGUCCACGGCCGUAGGAUCGGUUCGCGUCUGAUUACCGUGUUGGUGGGGCAACCGCCUACCAAGGCGAUGAUUAGUAGCUGGUCUGAGAGGAGGAUUAGCGGCACUUGGACUGAGACACGGCCCAGACUCCUACGGAGGGCAGCGGUAGGUAAUAUUAGGCGAUGAGCGCAAGCCUGAUCCAGCCAUGCCGCGUGAGUGAUGAAGGCCUUAGGGUUGUAAAUCUCUUUUGUCCGAGGCGAUAAUGACGGUACCGGAAGAAUAAGCCCCGGCUAACUUCGUG